rnacentral:rRNA from 1 species
GGCGAACGGGUGAGUAACACGUGGGUGAUCUGCCCUGCACUUCGGGAUAAGCUUGGGAAACUGGGUCUAAUACCGGAUAGGAGCCAUCUUUAGUGUGGUGGUUGGAAAGUUUUUCGGUGUAGGAUGAGCUCGCGGCCUAUCAGCUUGUUUGUGGGGUAAUGGCCUACCAAGGCGGCGACGGGUAGCCGGCCUGAGAGGGUGUACGGCCACAUUGGGACUGAGAUACGGCCCAG